GCGACAGCUCAGCCCGUAGAGCAUGAGACUCUUAACCCUCAGGGUCGUGGGUUCGAGCCCCACACGUUGGGCA